GGGCAAACCUUCGUCCGCCGUCCGAUUUGCCUGCUACAAUAAUUUCUAUCGCCCACUUUUGCCUGCAGCCGUUGGAUCAGGUAAAAACGUUUAUUACCUCUUGCCUUCCUUGAUGGGUUGCUGACGGAUGGGUCCGGCCGCAUGGGGGGGCCAGCGAGCAGAGACAGCCGCACCGGCUCCUUCACGUCCUGCUCAAGCGAAACCCUAGAGAGCGACCCAAUCCUCAAUUCCCCACCUGUCCUCCUCUCCUCCUCACUCCCGUGCCUCCCUCCUCCCCAGCCCGCCGCCGUCCCUCCUCCCUAGCCUGCCGUCCUCCCUCCUCCCCAGCUCGCCGCACCAGUUUUGCCCCCAUUUUUGUUGCAAAACAUGGGUGGGGCGAGGCUGCCAUGGAGGUUGGACGAGGAAGUCGCAUCUAGGGCGUUUCUGGUGGAGAAGUGGGAGAGGGAGGUGGUUCUGGAGGUGGAGCAGGGGAGGGAUCUCGAGGGGCCAUGUUGGGACGGAGGUGGAGGAGCACCAACGGGGUGGAGCGGGGCUCGAGGUGGAGGAGCAGCAAGGGGCAGAGAGAAUGAGACAAGAGAAGGAGAAGAAGAAGAGAAGAUCAUCACCCUCCGAUUUCUAUUGCUCAGGCUUCAAGGGGUGUGAGUGGAGGAGGGUGUGCACUGAUGCUUCCCUUUCCUUGGGUGCGAGGAAGCGUGUACAUUCACAAGGAAAAGAUGUGUGAAAUGGGCGUAAAUGACUGGUUGAUAUGUGCUCACGCAAUGGUGGUGAUGGGUCUGAGUGCCAAGACGCCCGACUAGAGGACAACAUAGUGAACAGUCAGGAUCCGGUCGGCCGAAGCAGUCGAAGAGGAGCGGAAGCUGCGCGUCGUCGGCCAGGGCGAGUAUUCUGGCACCUCCUCAGCGUGCAGCACAGAGGUCAUGGCGAGCAGCACCACGAGGGAAAAGAGAGAGGAAAAGUGCAAACGCCUGGGGGAGGAAGAGCUUCCUAUACUGCUACUGCGAAGUUUCUUAUGUUUCUUGCUUGGAGGUUCAGCAGCACAGAGGUCAUGGCGAGCAGCACCACGAGGGAAAAGAGAGAGGAAAAGUGCAAACGCCUGGGGGAGAAAGAGCAGUGCGGCCGGCCGGAAACGAUUCAAUUGAUUGCAAUUCUGGUGCUCCACAUCGCCCAGAUGGAUGCUACUAAUCAGGGAGUAGGUUUAUAUACGUUUGAAGGAAUCUGAGAAGAUUUGCGCAGAGGGCCUCUUCAUGGUUUCAUGGUCGAGCUCUCAACAGCUGCUACUCCCAAUCCUUAAUGACCACAUUGCCACCCCGUGUCGUCGUUGUCGCUGCGUUAUGCAGCACUGCCAUCACCUCUCUACUCCGCCAUGCCCUGUACGGAGUCGUCGGCUGCCUCUCAUUCCCUCCAGUUUACCCGCUUCCACAUUGCCUUCAAUCUCAGGGAACUUCAAGAACAAGAGGUGUUUGGUUUCUUUGUAAGCAUACAAUACAGAGGUUCUUGACUCUUGUCUUUCAUAGUUUUACUCAAGCGUGAACAUAUAAUACAACUAAUUAAUGUGAAUAUGUGCAGUUUUAAAUAUACAGUAUAUAUAGUACAGAUGCUCCUCUUUCCAUUUUUAUCCUUCAUGAGAAAUAUCGUGAUUUUUUGUUCGUCAAGAGCUACAGAUUCAUACUCGCACUUUGUGAUUUUGUUCUUUUUUUCUUAGGAUGUCAUUUCCUUUGCUAAUUCUGGGUGUAGUAGUACAGGUUUACUCACUUAUCCCCAUCUCACCUCUCUUUAUGUCUAUUGAUAAAUUAAUCUUGGUUUGCAAUAUGUAUUGCCUUGCUCAGACUAAGAUUUAUUUUCUACUUUGAGUGAAUUUGUCAUUCUAUUUUUUGCAUUUAGUUUAUGUCAGCAUUGGAAACUGCUAGCCUAUUUUGUCGCUAUCUAUAUUUUAUAUUUUAGUUUAUCUCUCCAUUGAAAAAUGGUAGCAUAAACUUUCUCUGGUGAUUAGAUAUCUAUUCUAGCUAGGCAUAAUUAUUGUUAUUUUAUAUGACCAUUUACAGGAGGAAUUUUUUGAUCAUAGAAAUUCGUUCUUCUGAAAACUGGCUUGAACUUUUACGUGGAGGCAUGCAUAUAUAUAAAUUCUGGAAGAUUAUUUUCAGAUUAUCACCUUCGAUCUCCCGCACUUGAAGCUUUUGCUUCUGUGGUAAAACAAUCCAUCACUUAAUUGCAGACAUUCUCAAUCCCAAUAUAGUACCAUUAUUUAGUGCAGACAUUCAUGGAUAAACUUGGAUUCUCAACUUCUCAUUGACUGAAUUAUAAUGGUUGUGGUGACUGACAGUCAAGGUUUUCUCAAGUUCAGUCAAAUAUGAUAUUAUUUAUUUAGAACAUUUCUCCCCAAAAUGAAGAUAAUGAUGUGGGCGGAGCAGUUGGCCACGGGGAAGUCGAGGGCGACGGGCGGUUGGAGAAGGCGCAGCGCGGUGCCGCUGGUGGGCGUGGGAGAGCAGCUAAAUUAUAUGAGGUUUGUUAAGCCUCCAGCUGAAUCGUCCCUGCAAAGAUCCAAAUGAGGCUUGCAAACAAAUUUAACUUUCGCAAUAAUAACUUCCCUUCGUUUACAUGAUUAUCUAUGACCCUUAGAUCUAAGGGUUAAGCAUUCUCUGAUAUAUGUGAACUGUACAUGUAUUGUUUUUUAGUGAAUUGGUUUUUUAUUCCAUGUUAAAUGCAUUUUGAUUGUCAUUUACUAUCACCUCAAGAAUAGCUUCAGGGACAUGCCCAACCUAGGUUACAGGGAUUGUAUAUCAUUAGCAGUUUUACCAUGUAAUUUUUAUUGUGGUGUUCCUCGUAUUGUCCACGUAUUUUCGUUUGCUGGUUCAUACACUGUUAGCAUAUUUUAUCCUAUCUUUAAUUUACUAACUUACUCAAGGAGGUCAAUUCAUUUAAGGGUUUGUUUGAGGGGAUACUGAAUUAGCAGUAGAAUGUUUUUUCGACACAUGCAGAUUUUGAAUUACCGGUGUUCGCUUUUUUUUUCAAUAUGCAGAGCAUGUAAUAGAAAUAUUAGAUUUUUCAUUGGCUAUGAAACUGUUGGCAUAGAGAGCCAAUUUAGCAUAUGUUGAUUUUUAGGCCAGGUUAUCUUCAUAGUUAAGCUGUGAAUUUAUAAUGAAACGAAACACUACUACUUUUUUUUAUUGUUGAAAGCAUCAGACCUUUUCUCUUGGUUAUAAUACUCAGUUUCGCUUUGGUGGUUCCCUACGUGAUUAUAAAAGUAAUAGCUGCAGUAUUUUGCACUGUCCUGAAUGAAAGUAAUCACUACAUGGUCCCUUAUUGGUAGAAUGAUUACUGCUAAAUCUAUUAUUUCAAGGGUUUUAAGUAACGCUGACUUUUUAGGGUAGUAUGUGUUUGUGGGCAUGCAACCUUCCAUGAAACUAGAGUGCAUAUUUGAAGGCCCUUAGUAUACGUUAGUGUUAUGUUAACAUGUGGUUACCUUCAGUCUCUAAAUCACAUCUUAAAUUUAACCACUAGACAUCUACAUGUAUAAUAUGUGGGGUUCUGCAAAUAUAUUUAUUGGCUAUGUUGACAGGGCAGCUUCUGCUCAUCUCGUGUCAUCAUAGCACUGCCUUGAAUUGGAUUUAUUUCAUAGUCCCUGGCUGAUGCAUUGUACGUGUUUUUUUUCAUUUGUGCAGCAAUUGAGCUGUUCCUUUCAAAUUGCUUGAGAUUCUUUGUUUCAAAAGAGGGCCCUUAUGUAAAGGCCAGUUUGUGUAUUUAGGUGGAGUACAUUUCAACACUAUGUGGUACUGCAUAACACAUUGAAAUAGCUUAUGGACAGUAAUCUGACGUAAAAUUGCAACCACCUUAACAUAACAUAAUUCUUUUGAGAGAAACUAAUUACAACUAACCAGUGAAAAUUGUUACUGUUUGCACUUCUCAUCCACUAUAUAAAGGAAAAUUUUGCUGAAGAAAUGCAUUACUGUACAAUAUUUUGUAUACUGAGAUUUUACUCUUUCAGAAGCACGACUACUUGGUCUAGCAACAUCAUACACCUUGUAUGUUUUCUCCCGGCAUUUAUUGAUGUGUUGGGCAUUAAAUAACACAUGUGCUAAACUAGCUCUAGGUUUUCUAAAAAUUCAUUAUAGUAUAGUUGUUUUGGAUUGAGCCCCUUAUUGAGCGCAACAUUGAGAAGAUAGGAGGGGCAGGAGAUAGGAUGGUAGUGAUUGAGGUCAAGAAGCGGCUGUACCGUGUUGGACAUCUCGCCGUUGGAUUUCAUGAAUUAUUAUAGAUGUGUGAGUAGAAGAAAUUUAAAAGGGAAGCAUAGUUGAAGACAAUGAACACUCAUUGUGGUUGAUGUGAACACUGAAGAGGUGUUUCAUAUGUACUAAUUUGUAUAUAGCUGGAGUGAUUUUGAGCUUCUGAUGAGGUCCUUAUAUUAUAUUAAAAGGGAACACCAAUACAAUUUUGAACUUACUAUUAUUUUUUCGACUAUUAAACCAAAUCUAUUUUUU